rnacentral:rRNA from 1 species
UACGAAGGGGGCUAGCGUUGUUCGGAAUUACUGGGCGUAAAGGGCGCGUAGGCGGCGUGUCAAGUCAGGCGUGAAAGCCCCGGGCUCAACCUGGGAACCGCGCUUGAGACUGGCAUGCUCGAGUUCGGGAGAGGAUGGUGGAAUUCCUGGUGUAGCGGUGAAAUGCGCAGAUAUCAGGAGGAACACCGGUGGCGAAGGCGGGUCUCUGGGCCGUAACUGACGCUGAGGAGCGAAAGCGUGGGGAGCAAACAGG